UUGAGCUGGAUGAAAGGAAACUUUCAUGUUCGGUUUUUAAGGGGGGAGAUCCUAUAAGAUCAUGAUCCUAUCCCAAU
rnacentral:ncRNA from 1 species